AUUCUAUGAUGAGGUCACUUCCAUAAUAAUUAUUUGUACCUUUCCCAUGCCUCAUACAAGGACUCUUCAUCCAUUUGUUAGAAGGUAGUAAUUUCAUUCCACUACU
rnacentral:snoRNA from 1 species